AGCUCCAAUAGCGUAUAUUAAAGUUGUUGCGGUUAAAAAGCUCGUAGUUGGAUUUCGGCGAUCAGGGGCCGGUGAUAUAUUUGUAUCUACUGGCCCAUUUGGUCGUAUUUUUGAAAGAGGGUUUGGGGUCCCCUUCACUGGGUGUCCUAGGUCGCUUUCAGGUUUACUUUGAAAAAAUUAGAGUGCUCAAAGCAGGCUUUAACGCUUGAAUAUUCGUGCAUGGAAUAAUAGAAUAGGAAGUUCGUUUCUAUUUUGUUGGUUUUAGGAUAACGACUUAAUGAUUAAUAGGGACAAUCGGGGGAAUUAGUAUUCAAACGACAGAGGUGAAAUUCUUGGACCGUUUGAAGACUAACUACUGCGAAAGCAUUUUCCAAGAGUGUUU
rnacentral:rRNA from 1 species